GAGUCUCAACAGCAGCUGAGCUGGAGCAGCAAACAUGCUGCUGCUGGCAGCUCUAACGGUCACAACUGCAUGGUCAUAUGGAUUUGCACAGGAAACUCCCAUACAGAGCCCUGUAUCCAUCACCAUGUCACGAGGAAAUACAGAUCUGAAGUGUCAUUUUAAAGACUUCUCUGGAAAUUUUGAUAACACCGUCAUACACUGGUAUCAACAGAAGGAGAAUAAAGCUCCAGUGAGGAUGAUCUACUUUUCAUCAGGGUCAGUAGCGGUAGAUGAGAGCUUCCAAAGGCACAGAUACACGAUUCAAACUAUUUCUAGACAGAAGCUUUGCACUCUUACAAUAAGAAAUACAAUUCCGGAUGAUGCUGCUACUUACUACUGUGCCUACUGGGACCCUCACUAUGGCAGAUGCCAAACAAUCACCUCUGCAAAUACUUUCUCGGCAGCUCUCCUGUAAAUGAUAUGAAAGGUAACAAAUCCGCUCCCAUGGUUUGGAUGAGCUGCUCAGCCAGAAGCAGUUCUGUCUAAAUCUCUCUGAGGAUUUGGAGAUCUGCUUCUCUCAAAUGAAGGAUUCUGAAGCUAUCUGCAAAGACCAUGUUGAUCAUUUCUUCAGUGACAAGUCUAUUUGGUGAUAAUCUUAACCUGGAAAUCUGUAUGGUUGGAAAGAAUCUGCCCAGUACACGUGUCUUCUGCAACAGAUAGCACAAAGUUUGAUUUGUAAUUAUGCCGACCAGGAGACUUGCUGUGGUAGGAAUCUUCAGGACAAAACACACACUGUAGCUGUCACUUAGACAUUGGUUGUGUGAGAUCCCAUCACUAUCAUGCGCCAUUCGUAUUCAUCUAGAAUCAGGUACCCGGCAGAUUUCUGCUCUGAAGUCAAAAGAAUAGCAAUGGACUGAUACACAUUUCAUCGGUCCCGGUAGAUUUUGGCCACAGGGUUUUAGUCUCAUGUUCUCUCCAUACAGUCCCCACAACAAAUGUGAUUGUAACGAACUGAGGUUGCCCGCUCAGGAGACUGUCCUGAAGUGCCGCUGCAAGGAGUGACUGUGUGCGUGCAUCUCUCCCUCUACUUGUUGAAGUCUAUUCCGUCCUUCUCUCUUCCUCGCUCAUGCACUGAAGCCACCUACCUGCCUGUCCUGACACAAAAUGACACAGACUUUGCCCUUAGUAUUUUCUAGUAAGAGGGGGAGGCAUCCAAUCCACUUAGCAAGAUGUGCUUAACACCACAUUGCCACGUGUUUUUUCUGCUUUUGUUUUCCGGUGUUUCUCUCCAAGCAGCAUUUGUACCGCUUCUGAGGCUCAAAACUGAAAUCCUGUGGCUGUGCAUUUCCUGCACACUCCAAAUCAAAGGCAGGGCACAUGCUCACAGUGCUGCUGCCCCGCUGCUGAAAGCUGAUAGCUACAGGCUCUUCAGCGGAGGGCAGCAUGGGAAGAGAGCAUUUAGUCAUGCUGGAGACGGGUGAGCAAGCUGGGACCGCUGAAGGGGGUCCCAGAUGGAAAAGGACAUACCUCCCAUCCACUCUGAGUGACGGCACAUGCUCACUGCCUACCAGGGUGGCCUCUCAGCUGGCAGCCUUGCACCUGAUGCCCAGCUGGAGCACCUCUUGCUCUCCAUCUUUCUCAGUAGCUCUUACGCAAACUUUAAGUCCUUGCAUUGAGCAAUAGCUCUUGCAUUUCUCUGAAAAGCAGAUGGGAUGAUAAACUUCUAACCAACCUGAACAUUUGCUGGCCUUACUCCGAUCCCAGGCUGAUGUGUUAUCACAGCCCCAUGUUGUUAUGCACAGAAAAAACACUGCUGGAGACUUCUCCUCCCACACAGUGCCGUCUCCAGCUCUGGCCCCACUCACACAUCUUUGAGUCUCAACAGCAGCAGAGCAGGAGCAGCAAGGAGCAGCAAACAUGCUGCUGCUGGCCGCUCUAUUGGUCACAGCUGCAUGGUUUUGUAAGUCCUUCAGCUUAUUUUCCUCACAGGCAUCCAUGGAUGACAUAACAGUUAUCUUCCCAAGUGGAUGCUUGGCAAUGAAUAACAACAUUUCUCCUCUUUUUCACUUCUGGAUUUUUUUUCUUUGUUUAGUUUAGUUUAGUUUUGUUUAGUUUUGUUUUGUUCUGUAACUCUGGAUGGAUUUGCACAGGAAACUCCCAUA